rnacentral:rRNA from 1 species
UCGAGAAUCUUUCACAAUGGGGGAAACCCUGAUGGAGCGACGCCGCGUGGAGGACGAAGGCCUUCGGGUCGUAAACUCCUGUCACCGGGGGCCAAUACCGGCGCGUCGAAAGGCGCGAUCGGGGCGAUGGUACCCGGAGAGGAAGAGACGGCUAACUCUGUGCCAGCAGCCGCGGUAAUACAGAGGUCUCAAGCGUUGUUCGGAUUUACUGGGCGUAAAGGGUGCGUAGGCGGACCUCUAAGUCGGGUGUGAAAACUGUUGGCUUAACUGACAGCAUGCACUCGAUACUGGAGGCCUUGAGUACGGAAGAGGAGAGUGGAAUUCCAGGUGUAGCGGUGGAAUGCGUAGAUAUCUGGAAGAACACCAGUAGCGAAGGCGGCUCUCUGGUCCGAUACUGACGCUCAAGCGCGAAGGCUUGGGGAGCAAACA